rnacentral:misc_RNA from 1 species
UCUUUUCUUUUGAUAAGAGAGUUUUUAAAACCAGUGUUAUUUUUGUAAGUUUAAGAGAAGUUUGUGUAUUGAAUUUUUUAUUUUUAAUAUUAAAGAGCUUUGUUAAACUUAGACUUAAGUUUAGGUCAUUUUGGGGGUUUAGCUCAGUUGGCUAGAGCAUCGGCUUUGCAAGCCGAGGGUCAAGGGUUCGAGUCCCUUAACCUCCAUUGGGCUUAUGUCCUAAAUUGUAAUUAAGUAUGUUUUUAAGCAACUUUAUUAAAGUAAUUGUUGGAAUGUGAAACAGAGGAAGUUAAAAUUUCUGGGUUAAGUUGAGAUCUGUUGAUAUUAAGAAGAAUCUCCAGAAGCAAAAGCAAGCUUUCGAUAAAACCCGAAGUUGUUUCGCUAAAGUGCAAGGAUUAAACAGGAUUGUAUUUUCCAGCAGCCUAUUUUAUAAAUGAUCUGCAUUUAGUAAAUAGUUUUUAGUUAGGAAAUAAUGUAGAUUGCUAAGUGUGAUGUC